GUGCUGGCCGGGAUGAAUGUCUACUCCUCUGAAUUUGAAAACAUCAAGGAGGAGUACAGCGUGCGCGGCUUCCCCACCAUCUGCUAUUUUGAGAAAGGACGGUUCUUGUUCCAGUAUGACAACUAUGGGUCCACAUCUGAGGACAUUGUGGAGUGGCUGAAGAAGGUGUGGCCACUGUAAGAAAAUGAAGCCGGAGUUUGAGAAGGCAGCAGAAGCCCUCCAUGGAGAAGCGGAUAGCUCUGGUGUCCUUGCAGCUGUCGAUGCCACUGUCAACAAGGCCCUGGCAGAAAGAUUCCACAUCUCAGAGUUUCCUACGUUGAAGUAUUUUAAGAAUGGAGAGAAAUACGCAGUGCCCGUGCUCAGGACAAAGAAGAAGUUUCUCGAGUGGAUGCAAA
rnacentral:sRNA from 1 species